UUAAUUGAAGCCAAAACUGAGGCUUAUCACUGUUAAUGAUAUCAUUGAAUCUAAUUCCAAUUAAA
rnacentral:tRNA from 2 species